rnacentral:rRNA from 1 species
CCGUGAAGCUGGAUUCGCUAGUAAUCGCGCAUCAGCCAUGGCGCGGUGAAUACGUUCCCGGGCCCUUGUACACACCGCCCGUCACACCAUGAGAGUUGGGAAUACCCGAAGCCUGUGAGCUAACUUUUAGAGGCAGCAGUCGAAGGUAGAAUCAAUGAUUGGGGUGAAGUCGUAACAAGGUAGC